UUUGAGAGAAGGGAUGACACAGUAGGAUAAGCUAAGCACACUGUUGGUUAUGUGUGCCCAAGCAUUGAGGCAGUCAAAGUAGGCAAAUCCGCUUUGAUAAUGCUGGGAUGGGAUGGGGAGCGAAAUUUAGUAGCGAAGUAGCUGAUUUCACACUGUCAAGAAAAGUCUCUAUCGAGGUUAAAGGUACCCGUACCGCAAACCGACACAGGUGGGUGAGGAGAGUAUCCUAAGGCCAGCGAGAGAACUGUUGUUAAGGAAC
rnacentral:rRNA from 1 species